rfam:Erinaceus europaeus unplaced genomic scaffold scaffold00662, whole genome shotgun sequence
AACACCUGUGUUUGUUUGUGUUUAAGUAGUGAGCAAAAGUUUCUAAACAGGUGCAAAAAAAAAAAUCCUCUUUAGCAACCGGGAGCUGAUUGUUCCAUAUGAGGUUUGAUACAUAUGAGAAGGAACAUG